rnacentral:piRNA from 1 species
UAAAUCAUUGUGCAGUGAAUCGUUAGUCC